UUGGGUUUGCUUUGCGCAGAAUAGGUGGGAGGCUAAGAUAAUAUAUUUGAGGAUGUAUAGGAGCUAUCAGUGUGAUACCACUCUAAGUAAACUAGACUUCUAACCUUGAAAGCCGUUAACCGGCCAAGGAACAGUUUCAGGCGGGCAGUUUGACUGGGGCGGUCGCCUCCUAAAAGGUAACGGAGGCGUACAAAGGUUUUCUCAGGCUGGUCAGAAAUCAGUUUUAGAGUAUAAAGGCAUAAGAAAGCUUGACUGCAAGACCUACAAGUCGAGCAGAGACGAAAGUCGGUCUUAGUGAUCCGACAGUUCUGAGUGGAAAGGCUGUC
rnacentral:rRNA from 1 species